AGCUCGGCAGUCAGACUACGAAUGAUAAGAUCCGUGGUCAAAAGGGAAACAGCCCAGAUCGUCAGCUAAGGUCCCAAAGUGUAAGUUAAGUGGGAAAGGAUGUGAGAUUUCUAAGACAACUAGGAUGUUGGCUUAGAAGCAGCCAUUCAUUAAAAGAGUGCGUAAUAGCUCACUAGUCGAGAGAUCUUGCGCCGAAAAUGUAACGGGGCUAAACUUACCACCGAAGCUACGGGCUUGAACUUAGUUCAAGCGGUAGGAGAGCGUCGUAACCGGGCUGAAGUCGUACCGUAAGGAGCGGUGGACUGGUUACGAGUGAGAAUGUUGGCAUCAGUAGCGAGAUGUGGGUGAGAAUCCCACAGGCCGAAAACCUAAGGUUUCCUCAGGAAGGUUCGUCCGCUGAGGGUUAGUCGGGACCUAAGCCGAGGCCGAAAGGCGUAGGUGAUGGACAACUGGUUGAUAUUCCAGUACCACUACCAUCGUUAUUAUCGAUGGCGUGACGCAGGAGGAUAGUGUGUGCUAGCUAUUGGAUGCUAGUCUAAGCGUUUAGGCAGUGAGAGUAGGCAAAUCCGCUCUCAUAAUGCUGAGGCGUGAUGGGGAAGGUUCCACGGAACCGAAGUACAUGAUUCCACGCUGCCAAGAAAAGCGUCUAGAGAGAGAAGUAGUGCCCGUACCGCAAACCGACACAGGUAGGUGAGGAGAGAAUCCUAAGGCCGGCGGAAGAAUUACAGUUAAGGAACUCGGCAAAUUGACCCCGUAAGUUCGCGAGAAGGGGUGCCUACGAGAGUAGGCCGCAGAGAAUAGGCCCAAGCAACUGUUUAGCAAAAACACAGGUCUCUGCUAAAGCGUAAGCUGAUGUAUAGGGGCUGACGCCUGCCCGGUGCUGGAAGGUUAAGGGGAACACUUAGCGCAAGCGAAGGUGUGAACUUAAGCCCCAGUAAACGGCGGCCGUAACUAUAACGGUCCUAAGGUAGCGAAAUUCCUUGUCAGGUAAGUUCUGACCCGCACGAAUGGCGUAAUGACUUGGGCACUGUCUCAACUGUAAAUCCGGCGAAGUUGUAGUGCGAGUGAAGAUGCUCGCUACCCGCGAUUGGACGGAAAGACCCCGUAGAGCUUUACUGUAGCUUAGCAUUGAGUUUUGGUAUUGUCUGUACAGGAUAGGUGGGAGACUAGGAAACCAGGGCGUCAGCCUUGGUGGAGUCAACCUUGGGAUACCACCCUGACAGUACUGAAAUUCUAACUGGCGGCCAUGAAUCUGGUCACAGGACAUUGUUAGGUGGGCAGUUUGACUGGGGCGGUCGCCUCCUAAAAAGUAACGGAGGCGCCCAAAGGUUCCCUCAGAACGGUCGGAAAUCGUUCGAAGAGUGCAAAGGCAGAAGGGAGCCUGACUGCGACACCCACAAGUGGAGCAGGGACGAAAGUCGGGCUUAGUGAUCCGGUGGUACCUCGUGGGAGGGCCAUCGCUCAACGGAUAAAAGCUACCUCGGGGAUAACAGGCUGAUCUCCCCCAAGAGUCCACAUCGACGGGGAGGUUUGGCACCUCGAUGUCGGCUCGUCGCAUCCUGGGGCUGAAGUAGGUCCCAAGGGUUGGGCUGUUCGCCCAUUAAAGCGGCACGCGAGCUGGGUUCAGAACGUCGUGAGACAGUUCGGUCCCUAUCCGUCGCGGGCGUAGGAAAUUUGAGAGGAGCUGUCCUUAGUACGAGAGGACCGGGAUGGACUGACCUCUGGUGUACCAGUUGUUCCGCCAGGAGCACAGCUGGGUAGCUAAGUCGGGAAUGGAUAAACGCUGAAAGCAUCUAAGCGUGAAGCCAACCUCAAGAUGAGAUUUCCCAUAGCGUAAGCUAGUAAGAUCCCUUGAAGAACACAAGGUUGAUAGGUCGGGGGUGUAAGCAUGGUAACAUGUUCAGCUGACCGAUACUAAUAGAUCGAGGGCUUGACCAA
rnacentral:rRNA from 1 species